AAGUCGUAACAAGGUCUCCGUAGGUGAACCUGCGGAGGGAUCAUUACAGAGAACAUCGCCCGCAAGGGUGACUCUCCAACCCUAUGUUAAUUAUACGUUUGUUGCUUUGGCGAGCCGCUUCGGCCACCGGCUCACGCUGGUGAGUGCCCGCCAGAGGACCCAAAACUCUGUUUAUACAUGUCGUCUGAGUACUAUAUAAUAGUUAAAACUUUCAACAACGGAUCUCUUGGUUCUG
rnacentral:misc_RNA from 1 species